UACGGAGGAUCCAAGCGUUAUCCGGAUUUAUUGGGUUUAAAGGGUGCGUAGGUGGCCUGUUAAGUCAGGGGUGAAAGACGGUAGCUCAACUAUCGCAGUGCCCUUGAUACUGACGGGCUUGAAUGAACUAGAGGUAGGCGGAAUGUGACAAGUAGCGGUGAAAUGCAUAGAUAUGUCACAGAACACCGAUUGCGAAGGCAGCUUACUAUGGUUUUAUCGACGCUGAGGCACGAAAGCGUGGGGAUCAAACAGG
rnacentral:rRNA from 1 species